CACCUGGGGAGUACGGCCGCAAGGUUGAAACUCAAAGGAAUUGACGGGGGCCCGCACAAGCGGAGGAGCAUGUGGUUUAAUUCGAUGAUACGCGAGGAACCUUACCUGGGCUAGAACGCUGGAUGACCUUCCGGGAAACCGGAAUUCUCUUCGGAGCAGCCAGCGAGGUGCUGCAUGGUUGUCGUCAGCUCGUGCCGUGAGGUGUCGGGUUAAGUCCCAUAACGAGCGCAACCCCUAUCUUUAGUUGCCAUCAGGUAAUGCUGGGGACUCUAGAGAAACUGCCUACGCAAGUAGUGAGGAAGGUGGGGAUGACGUCAAAUCAGCACGGCCCUUACGUCCAGGGCUACACACGUGCUACAAUGGCCGGUACAAUGGGUCGCUACCUGGUGACAGGGUGCUAAUCUCCAAAACCGGUCUCAGUUCGGAUCGAAGUCUGCAACUCGACUUCGUGAAGUUGGAUUCGCUAGUAAUCGGAUAUCAGCAAUGAUCCGGUGAAUACGUUCCCGGGCCUUGUACACACCGCCCGUCAAGCCAUGGGAGUUGGGGGUACCUGAAGUCGAUAACCGCAGGGAGUCGCCUAGGGUAAAACCAAUGACUGGGGCUAAGUCGUAACAAGGUAGCCGAAUCGA
rnacentral:rRNA from 1 species